GCCUCUUGCGCUCCAGCCCGACUGAAUGCCCAAGGAGCAUCAAGAAGGGGAAGGAAGUAAUAUUCACUAACAGCGUAUGGGGUUCCUGGGAUCAUGCUGAACAUUGCACCCGAUGUCCUUCAGUGACCUUGUCCUGUGUAGGUGGCAUACAGCAGAACGAGGCUAUCUGGACAUAGACACGUACAGAGGGAAGACGAAAUGAAGACAGAGGGAGAAGACAGCCAUCUAUCAAUAAGCCAAGAAGAGAUCUGGAACAGAGCCUUCCCUCACAGCCCUCAGAAGGAAGUAACCUUGCUGACAACUUGAUCUCAGACUUCU